AGAGUUGAUCCUGGCUUAGGACGAACGCUGGCGGCGUGCCUAACACAUGCAAGUCGAGCGAUGAAAUCCUUCGGGAUGGAUAGCGGCGGACGGGUGAGUAACACGUGGGUAACCUGCCUUGUAGAGGGGGAUAGCCUUCCGAAAGGAAGAUUAAUACCGCAUAACAUCUUUUUAUCGCAUGGUAUAAAGAUCAAAGGAGCAAUCCGCUACAAGAUGGACCCGCGGCGCAUUAGCUAGUUGGUGAGGUAACGGCUCACCAAGGCGACGAUGCGUAGCCGACCUGAGAGGGUGAUCGGCCACAUUGGAACUGAGACACGGUCCAGACUCCUACGGGAGGCAGCAGUGGGGAAUAUUGCGCAAUGGGGGGAAACCCUGACGCAGCAACGCCGCGUGAAUGAAGAAGGCCUUAGGGUUGUAAAGUUCUGUUUACGGGGACGAUAAUGACGGUACCCGUGGAGGAAGCCACGGCUAACUACGUGCCAGCCGCCGC
rnacentral:rRNA from 1 species